UACAGAGGUCUCAAGCGUUGUUCGGAUUCAUUGGGCGUAAAGGGUGCGUAGGCGGCGCGGUAAGUCGGGUGUGAAAUCUCGGAGCUUAACUCCGAAACUGCAUUCGAUACUGGCGUGCUUGAGGACUGGAGAGGAGACUGGAAUUCAUGGUGUAGCAGUGAAAUGCGUAGAGAUCAUGAGGAAGACCAGUGGCGAAGGCGGCUAUCUGGACAGAAACUGACGCUGAGGCGCGAAAGCUAGGGGAGCAAACAGG
rnacentral:rRNA from 1 species